rnacentral:rRNA from 1 species
AUGCAUAUACAUGCAGUCGAACGAACUUCCGUAUAAUUGAUUAUGACAGUACUUGUACUGAUUGAGAUUUUAACACGAAGUGAGUGGCGAACGGGUGAGUAACACGUGGGUAACCUGCCCAGAAGUAGGGGAUAACACCUGGAAACAGAUGCUAAUACCGUAUAACAGAGAAAACCGCAUGGUUUUCUUUUAAAAGAUGGCUCUGCUAUCACUUCUGGAUGGACCCGCGGCGUAUUAGCUAGUUGGUGAGGUAAAGGCUCACCAAGGCAGUGAUACGUAGCCGACCUGAGAGGGUAAUCGGCCACAUUGGGACUGAGACACGGCCCAGACUCCUACGGGAGGCAGCAGUAGGGAAUCUUCCACAAUGGACGCAAGUCUGAUGGAGCAACGCCGCGUGAGUGAAGAAGGGUUUCGGCUCGUAAAGCUCUGUUGUUAAAGAAGAACGUGGGUAAGAGUAACUGUUUACCCAGUGACGGUAUUUAACCAGAAAGCCACGGCUAACUACGUGCCAGCAGCCGCGGUAAUACGUAGGUGGCAAGCGUUAUCCGGAUUUAUUGGGCGUAAAGCGAGCGCAGGCGCGAUGAUUACUAAGUGUUGGAGGGUUUCCGCCCUUCAGUGCUGCAGCUAACGCAUUAAGUAAUCCGCCUGGGGAGUACGACCGCAAGGUUGAAACUCAAAAGAAUUGACGGGGGCCCGCACAAGCGGUGGAGCAUGUGGUUUAAUUCGAAGCUACGCGAAGAACCUUACCAGGUCUUGACAUCUUCUGACAGUCUAAGAGAUUAGAGGUUCCCUUCGGGGACAGAAUGACAGGUGGUGCAUGGUUGUCGUCAGCUCGUGUCGUGAGAUGUUGGGUUAAGUCCCGCAACGAGCGCAACCCUUAUUACUAGUUGCCAGCAUUAAGUUGGGCACUCUAGUGAGACUGCCGGUGACAAACCGGAGGAAGGUGGGGACGACGUCAAAUCAUCAUGCCCCUUAUGACCUGGGCUACACACGUGCUACAAUGGAUGGUACAACGAGUCGCGAGACCGCGAGGUUAAGCUAAUCUCUUAAAACCAUUCUCAGUUCGGACUGUAGGCUGCAACUCGCCUACACGAAGUCGGAAUCGCUAGUAAUCGCGGAUCAGCAUGCCGCGGUGAAUACGUUCCCGGGCCUUGUACACACCGCCCGUCACACCAUGAGAGUUUGUAAUACCCAAAGCCGGUGGGGUAACCUUUUAGGAGCUAGCCGUCCUAGAU